GGUCUUCUAACAGCGGUUCCAAUCUCCCGCGAGGGACUUGGCCGGUGAAGGACCGAAGCGAUUCCUAUAGGAUUCGUGGGUGGGUGAUAGGUCCUAAACCCCCUGCAAGACACUCUCACUAAGGCAACCAAGGGCUGUAGGAAUUGCCACAGUAAAAUUCCUAGAUGGGUCAGACAAAAUCGAAGACCCGGGACCAGAGAAAAGGGAGCAAAUUACCAGACAUACCACCAGAAAGUCCAUUAGGGAUAAUGAUCAGAAAUUGGAACGAUAGGGGCCCCAGAAAAGGAAAAACGUAAAUUAAAAAUGAUUCAAUAUUGUAUGAUAGAAUGGCCGAAGGAGCCUUUAAGACCACAUGUCUUUUGGCCCGUUUUCGGAUCCUUUGAAGACUGGGUUUGCCAGGCUUUAAAUCUACAUGUUAAUUCAAAGGAACCUUUUUAGCCAGGAGGAAAGUGAUUAUGCAGGAUUAUGGAUCAGGACUUCACGUCCUUUUCCAGCCUCAAUAUUACACUAAAAGCAGACGAGAAGUUUGAAGAAGAAGAAAAAAGAAAAAAAAAGGAAAAAGAAAAAGAUGAUGAAUGGGAGUCAUUGGAUAACCUACCACCUCUAUAUCCUAACAAUCCACCCCCGGUGGUGCAUCUUGUAAUCCUAUUUUGUUCUUAAAUAUUUUGAGUAUGUCAAGGAGGAAGGUGGGAGCAUUAUCUAAGUAACAGUUUAGAAGUUUUGGUAUAUUUGCGGUGGUGUUUGGUCAGUUUCCCAAGUAUCGGGGGAGGGGGGCUGACUGAUUAUCAAAGCGGUAGAACACAGAGAGUCACUUCUUCAGUGGUUCGGGCCUGAGCCCUGGGAAUUUGGUAAGAAGGGGGAGAACGAAUUUAUUUAGGCCUCAAUACCUUUUUAAACCCCCAUCUUGACGGAUACGCAGGAGUGAUUCCUUGUGCUGUGAGAUCGGACGAGGGGUGGUGUAUGGAAAGAGUG